rnacentral:rRNA from 1 species
CAUGCAAGUCGAACGCGAAAGGGGAGCAAUCCCUGAGUAGAGUGGCAAACGGGUGAGUAACACGUGGGUGACCUGCCUCAGAGUGGGGGAUAACGUCCCGAAAGGGACGCUAAUACCGCAUAACAUCCUGCCUUUAGAAAGGCGGAGAUCAAAGCCGGGGAUCGCAAGACCUGGCGCUUGGAGAGGGGCCCGCGUCUGAUUAGCUAGUUGGUAGGGUAAUGGCCUACCAAGGCUACGAUCAGUAUCCGGCCUGAGAGGGCGGACGGACACACUGGGACUGAGACACGGCCCAGACUCCUACGGGAGGCAGCAGUGGGGAAUUGUUCGCAAUGGGCGCAAGCCUGACGACGCAACGCCGCGUGGAGGAUGAAGAUCUUCGGGUCGUAAACUCCUGUCGAGCGGGACGAAUACCCAUCCAGCUAACAUCUGGAUGGGCUGACGGUACCGCUAAAGGAAGCCCCGGCUAACUCCGUGCCAGCAGCCGCGGUAAUACGGGGGGGGCAAGCGUUGUUCGGAAUUACUGGGCGUAAAGGGCUCGUAGGCGGCCAACUAAGUCAGACGUGAAAUCCCCAGGCUCAACCUGGGAACUGCGUCUGAUACUGGAUGGCUUGAAUCCGGGAGAGGGAUGCAGAAUUCCAGGUGUAGCGGUGAAAUGCGUAGAUAUCUGGAGGAAUACCGGUGGCGAAGGCGGCAUCCUGNACCGGCAUUGACGCUGA